rnacentral:rRNA from 1 species
UAUACAUGCAGUCGAGCGGACAGAUGGGAGCUUGCUCCCUGAUGUUAGCGGCGGACGGGUGAGUAACACGUGGGUAACCUGCCUGUAAGACUGGGAUAACUCCGGGAAACCGGGGCUAAUACCGGAUGCUUGAUUGAACCGCAUGGUUCAAUUAUAAAAGGUGGCUUUUGCCUACCUACCACUUACAAAUGGACCCCCGGCGCAUUACCUAUUUGGUGAGGUAACGGCUCACCAAGGCAACAAUGCUUACCCAACUUGAAAGGUGAAUCGGCCACACUGGAACUGAAACACGGCCCAACCUCCUACGGAAGCCACCAUUAGGAAUCCUUCCGCAUUG